rnacentral:rRNA from 1 species
UGGGGAAUUUUGGACAAUGGGCGAAAGCCUGAUCCAGCCAUGCCGCGUGAGUGAAGAAGGCCUUCGGGUUGUAAAGCUCUUUUAGUCGGAAAGAAAGAGUUGCAAUGAAUAAUUGUGAUUUAUGACGGUACCGACAGAAAAAGCACCGGCUAACUACGUGCCAGCAGCCGCGGUAAUACGUAGGGUGCGAGCGUUAAUCGGAAUUACUGGGCGUAAAGGGUGCGCAGGCGGUCUUGCAAGGCAGGUGUGAAAGCCCCGGGCUUAACCUGGGAAUUGCGUUUGAAACUACAAGGCUAGAGUGCAGCAGAGGGGAGUGGAAUUCCAUGUGUAGCAGUGAAAUGCGUAGAGAUGUGGAAGAACACCGAUGGCGAAGGCAGCUCCCUGGGUUGACACUGACGCUCAUGCACGAAAGCGUGGGGAGCAAACA